ACUCAGGAUGAACGCUGGCGGCGUGCUUAACACAUGCAAGUCGAGCGAAGCACUUUAAAGGAAGUUUCGGAUGGAUUUAAAGUGACUGAGCGGCGGACGGGUGAGUAACGCGUGGGUAACCUGCCUCAGUACAGGGGGAUAACAGUUGGAAACGACUGCUAAUACCGCAUAAGCGCACAGUGCUGCAUAGCACAGUGUGAAAAACUCCGGUGGUAUGAGAUGGACCCGCGUCUGAUUAGGUAGUUGGUGGGGUAACGGCCCACCAAGCCGACGAUCAGUAGCCGACCUGAGAGGGUGACCGGCCACAUUGGGACUGAGACACGGCCCAAACUCCUACGGGAGGCAGCAGUGGGGAAUAUUGGACAAUGGGGGAAACCCUGAUCCAAGCGACGCCGCGUGAGUGAAGAAGUGUUUCGGCAUGUAAAGCUCUAUCAGCAGGGAAGAAAAUGACGGUACCUGACUAAGAAGCCCCGGCUAACUACGUGCCAGCCGCCGC
rnacentral:rRNA from 1 species